rnacentral:rRNA from 1 species
UGAUCAUGGCUCAGAUUGAACGCUGGCGGCAGGCCUAACACAUGCAAGUCGAGCGGUAGCGGGAAGAGCUUGCUCUUUGCCGACGAGCGGCGGACGGGUGCGUAACACGUAGGAAUCUGCCCGGUAGUGGGGGAUAGCCCGGAGAAAUCCGGAUUAAUACCGCAUACGCCCUAAGGGGAAAAGCAGGGGAUCUUCGGACCUUGCGCUAUCGGAUGAGCCUGCGUCGGAUUAGCUUGUUGGUGGGGUAAAGGCCUACCAAGGCAACGAUCCGUAGCUGGUCUGAGAGGAUGAUCAGCCACACUGGGACUGAGACACGGCCCAGACUCCUACGGGAGGCAGCAGA